rnacentral:tRNA from 1 species
UAGCUCAGUAGGCAGAGCAAUACACCCGUAAUGUAUAGGUCACAGGUUCGAUCCUGUCACCC